rnacentral:rRNA from 1 species
UGAACGCUGGCGGAAUGCUUUACACAUGCACGUCGAGCGGCAGCACGGGGGCAACCCUGGUGGCGAGCGGCGAACGGGUGAGUAAUACAUCGGAACAUGCCCAGUCGUGGGGGAUAACACUUCGAAAGAAGUGCUAAUACCGCAUACGUCCUGAGGGAGAAAGCGGGGGAUCGCAAGACCUCGCGCGAUUGGAGUGGCCGAUGUCAGAUUAGCUAGUUGGUGGGGUAAAGGCCUACCAAGGCAACGAUCUGUAGCUGGUCUGAGAGGAUGAUCAGCCACACUGGGACUGAGACACGGCCCAGACUCCUACGGGAGGCAGCAGUGGGGAAUUUUGGACAAUGGGGGCAACCCUGAUCCAGCCAUUCCGCGUGAGUGAAGAAGGCCUUCGGGUUGUAAAGCUCUUUCGGCAGGAACGAAACGGUGAGCUCUAACAUAGCUCGCUAAUGACGGUACCUGAAGAAGAAGCACCGGCUAACUACGUG